rnacentral:rRNA from 1 species
GACGAACGCUGGCGGCGUGCUUAACACAUGCAAGUCGAACGGAAAGGCCCCUUUGGGGGUGCUCGAGUGGCGAACGGGUGAGUAACACGUGAGUAACCUGCCCUUGACUUCGGGAUAACUACAGGAAACUGGGGCGAAUACCGGAUAGGAAUCCUUGCUGCAUGGUGGGGGUUGGAAAGCUUCGGCGGUUUUGGAUGGACUCGCGGCUUAUCAGCUUGUUGGUGGGGUAGUGGCUUACCAAGGCUUUGGCGGGUAGCCGGCCUGAGAGGGCGACCGGCCACAUUGGGACUGAGAUACGGCCCAGACUCCUACGGGGGGCAGCAGUGGGGAAUAUUGCACAAUGGGCGGGAGCCUGAUGCAGCAACGCCGCGUGCGGGAAGACGGCCUUCGGGUUGGAAACCGCUUUCAGCAGGGGCGAAGCUUGUGGUGACGGUACCUGCAGAAGAAGCACCGGCUAACUACGUG